GCCAGCAGCUAUAUCACCCUGCAACUCACCACCACCAGCCCACUGGAGCUCAGCAGUGUGAGCCUGGCCAGUACCUGGAUGGGAGACUCCUGGGAAACAUUUGGUUGCUGCUGGAA
rnacentral:rRNA from 1 species